GAUGAACGCUGGCGGCGUGCCUAAUACAUGCAAGUCGAGCGGACAGACGAGGCGCUUGCUGCUCUGACGUUAGGGGCGGACGGGUGAGAAACGCGUGGAAACCCUACUUAUAAGACGGGUAUCACUUCGGGACACCGGAGCUAAUCCCGGAUAACAUGUUGAACCGCAUGGUUCAACAGUGAAAGUCGGUUUUGCUGUCACUUAUAGAUGGAUCCGCGUCGCAUUAGCUAGUUGGUACGGUAACGGCUUACCAAGGGAACGAUGCGUAGCCGACCUGUGAGGGUGAUCGGCCGCACUGGAGCUGGGCCGCGCUCCAGGCUCCUACGGGAGGCAGCAGUAUGGAAUCUUCCGCAAUGGUCGAAAGCCUGACGGAGCAACGCCGCGUGAGUGAAGAAGGUCUUCGGAUCGUAAAACUCUGUUAUGAGGGAAGAACAAAUGUGUAAGUAACUAUGCACUGCUUGACGGUACCUAAUCAGAAAGCCACGGCUAACUACGUG
rnacentral:rRNA from 1 species